rnacentral:rRNA from 1 species
UACGGGGGGGGCAAGCGUUGUUCGGAAUUACUGGGCGUAAAGGGCGCGUAGGCGGUUUGCUAAGUUGGACGUGAAAACUCUGGGCUUAACCCAGAGCCUGCAUCCAAAACUGGCAAGCUGGAGUUUUGGAGGGGGAAGCGGAAUUCCUGGUGUAGCAGUGAAAUGCGCAGAUAUCAGGAGGAACACCGGUGGCGAAGGCGGGUCUCUGGGCAACUACUGACGCUGAGGAGCGAAAGCGUGGGGAGCGAACAGG